UACGUAGGUGGCAAGCGUUGUCCGGAAUUAUUGGGCGUAAAGCGCGCGCAGGCGGUCCUUUAAGUCUGAUGUGAAAGCCCACGGCUCAACCGUGGAGGGUCAUUGGAAACUGGGGGACUUGAGUGCAGAAGAGGAAAGCGGAAUUCCACGUGUAGCGGUGAAAUGCGUAGAGAUGUGGAGGAACACCAGUGGCGAAGGCGGCUUUCUAGUCUGUAACUGACGCUGAGGCGCGAAAGCGUGGGGAGCAAACAGG
rnacentral:rRNA from 1 species